CAAUAGCGUAUAUUGAAGUUGUUGCGGUUAAAAAGCUCGUCGUUGGAUUUCUGUUGAGGUCGAACAGUGCCGCCCUAUGGGUGCGCAACUGGCUCGGCUUCGGCAUCUUCUUGGAGAGCGCAUCUGCACUUAACUGUGUGGAUCGUACUUCAAGUCAGUUACUUUGAGGAAUUGUGAGUGUUUCAAGCUGGCUUACGCCGUUGAAUCCGUUAGCAUGGAAUAAUAGGAUAGGACCUCGGUUCUAUUUUGUUGGUUUUGAGAGCUGGGGCAGCGAUUGAUAGGGACGGAUGGGGGCGUCCGAACUUUACUGUCAGAGGUGAAAUUCUUAGAUCGGUCAAAGGCGAACUACUGCGAACGCAUUCGCCAAGAAUGUUUUCUUUAA
rnacentral:rRNA from 1 species